GGCCGCGGCCAGCGCCUCCGGGGCGGCGGGAGGGCCGGGAUGCGGUGCAGUGUUGUGCGUCUCCUACCAAUAUUGCACUCGUCCCGGCCUCCCGCCGCCCCGGGCUCCUCUACGCCCGCACG
rnacentral:pre_miRNA from 14 species